rnacentral:rRNA from 1 species
GACGAACGCUGGCGGCGUGCCUAAUACAUGCAAGUCGAACGCUUUUUCUUUCACCGGAGCUUGCUCCACCGAAAGAAAAAGAGUGGCGAACGGGUGAGUAACACGUGGGUAACCUGCCCAUCAGAAGGGGAUAACACUUGGAAACAGGUGCUAAUACCGUAUAACAAGUAAAACCGCAUGGUUUUACUUUGAAAGGCGCUUUUGCGUCACUGAUGGAUGGACCCGCGGUGCAUUAGCUAGUUGGUGAGGUAACGGCUCACCAAGGCAACGAUGCAUAGCCGACCUGAGAGGGUGAUCGGCCACAUUGGGACUGAGACACGGCCCAAACUCCUACGGGAGGCAGCAGUAGGGAAUCUUCGGCAAUGGACGAAAGUCUGACCGAGCAACGCCGCGUGAGUGAAGAAGGUUUUCGGAUCGUAAAACUCUGUUGUUAGAGAAGAAUAAGGAUGAGAGUAAAAUGUUCAUCCCUUGACGGUAUCUAACCAGAAAGCCACGGCUAACUACGUGCCAGCAGCCGCGGUAAUACGUAGGUGGCAAGCGUUGUCCGGAUUUAUUGGGCGUAAAGCGAGCGCAGGCGGUUUCUUAAGUCUGAUGUGAAAGCCCCCGGCUCAACCGGGGAGGGUCAUUGGAAACUGGGAAACUUGAGUGCAGAAGAGGAGAGUGGAAUUCCAUGUGUAGCGGUGAAAUGCGUAGAUAUAUGGAGGAACACCAGUGGCGAAGGCGGCUCUCUGGGUCUGUACUGACGCUGAGGCUCGAAAGCGUGGGGAGCAAACAGG